GAUAGAACCAAUGGCAUCACCAGGGAGAGGGAACAGGUUUACUCACUUCCUCAGCGAUGUCCCCACGUUCUCUGCUUCAUUAUAACCUAUGUAAGUGAAUGUUUCCUAUUCAUGGAGUUGCCUAAGUUCUCAUUGGCAGGGAUUUCCCUACCUGCCUUGCUCCACCUUCCAGUCUGCUGCUUUUAAUUGAUGCUAUGCGGGUGGCGCUGUGGGUUAAACCACAGAGCCUUGGGCUUGCCGAUCAGAAGGUCGGCGGUUCGAAUCCCCGUGAUGGGGUGAGCUCCCGUUGCUUGGUCCCUGCUCCUGCCAACCUAGCAGUUCAAAAGCACGCAGUGCAAGUAGAUAAAUAGGUACCGCUCUGGAGGUAAGGUAAACGGCGUUUCCGUGCACUGCUCUGGUUCACCAGAAGCGGCUUAGUCAUGCUAGCCACAUGACCCGGAAGCUGUACGCCGGCUCCCUCGGCCAAUACAGUGAGAUGAGCGCUGCAACACCAGAGUUGGUCACGACUGGACCUAAUGGUCAGGGGUCCCUUUACCCUUACCUAACUUUAUAUUUUACAGUUAUGAUUUUGAUUCGGAAUGCUAUUUUAGUUUUAAUGUAGUUAUUUGCAUUCCCCCCUCUCUCACACCCACACUGCUAGCUAAUGUCCCAGUUUUGUGAACCAUCUUGAGAAGAGUUGAUUAACCCUGCUGCCCUGCCCUCCCUUGGGAAGAAAGACCAGAUAUAAAUUAAAAUAAAUAAAUGGUUAAGAAUUUCAUACAAUUAUUACUGGUUAUAUUUCUGAGCAUACGAUUACUAGGAGGGGAAACAUGGCAGCUGUUGUUCAUUCAUUUAAACAAUUAUUUUAUUUGAAUAAAUUAUUAAGAGCGAAUUUUAGAAAUUUCAGAAAAGAAUAUGCAGUAAGGCAUAUUAAACUAAGCAAUUAUGAACAUGCAUUCCAAGUUUGGAUUGGUCUGAAGAGGGUAUACAAAGGAUUAUUGGGAAGGAUGCAAGUUUUUAGAUAACUUAUAUAGAAUUUAACCACCAAGUUGAAAUACAGCAUUUAGUUUUGGAAAUGAAUGAACAACUGCCACCAUGGUUAUUCUCUAAUAAUCAUAUGCUGAUAAAUGUAACUAAUAGUGUUCAGGAGCAAUACUUGUAUGAAGUCUUUUACACGGUAAUCAGCUCAGAAGGUCAGAGCACUAAUGACAAACUGGAAAUUAAUCAUGGCCCCACAGUUACUAUUAAGGCAGUAGAGAAUCUAAUUUUGCAACUGACUAAUGAUACAUUUCCAGGUGAGGACAGUAUUCCUUGUGAAGUUUUUUAAUGUAGUCUAGUCUGAUGGGAUCCACCUCUUAUGGUCAGUGCCUUGAGUUUAGAAAGUUGCUUUCCCGUGCAUGGAACUCAAAUGCCACUGUUUAUAUGAACGGCAGUAGUAAACUUUCCAGUUGAAGGCCUAUGAGUUACAACUUGGUUCAAUGUUAUGCCAGAUAUUUGUUAAGUGAACCUGAGCAUCUGCAACCCCAUCAUUCUUAUUUUCCUAGACACUAAGGUCCAGCAACAAGGGCCUUCUGGUGCUUCCGUCACUACGAGCGGUGAGGUUGCAGGGAACCAGGCAAAGGGCCUUCUCGGUAGUGGUGGCCUCCCAGAAG
rnacentral:lncRNA from 1 species